rnacentral:rRNA from 1 species
UGGGUAACCUGCCUCAAAGAGGGGAAUAGCCUCCCGAAAGGGAGAUUAAUACCGCAUAAUAUGUUUAGGUCGCAUGACUUUAACAUCAAAGGAUUUCUUUUAGAAAUUCCACUUUGAGAUGGACCCGCGGCGCAUUAGCUAGUUGGUGAGGUAACGGCUCACCAAGGCAACGAUGCGUAGCCGACCUGAGAGGUGAUCGGCCACAUUGGAACUGAGACACGGUCCAGACUCCGUAGGAG